CAUCUUCUCCUUUACCUUCGCCUUCUCCCUAUGAUACUUCUCGUUUUUGUCUCCCAAAACUCCCUCCUUCUUCCCCUUCUCCUGCUUCCUCUCCCUCGGCUGCCACCUUUUCU
rnacentral:ribozyme from 1 species